rnacentral:rRNA from 1 species
GAUGAACACUGGCGGCGUGCCUAAUACAUGCAAGUCGAGCGAACGGACGAGAAGCUUGCUUCUCUGAUGUUAGCGGCGGACGGGUGAGUAACACGUGGAUAACCUACCUAUAAGACUGGGAUAACUUCGGGAAACCGGAGCUAAUACCGGAUAAUAUUUUGAACCGCAUGGUUCAAAAGUAAAAGACGGUCUUGCUGUCACUUAUAGAUGGAUCCGCGCUGCAUUAGCUAGUUGGUAAGGUAACGGCUUACCAAGGCAACGAUGCAUAGCCGACCUGAGAGGGUGAUAGGACACAAUGGAAGUGAGACACGGUACAGAAGACUACGGGAGGCAGCAGAAGGGAAUGUGCGGCAAUGGGCGAAAGCCUGACGGAGCAAAGCCGAGUGAGUGAUGAAGGUCUUCGGAUCGUAAAACUCUGUUAUUAGGGAAGAACAUAUGUGUAAGUAACUGUGCACAUCUUGACGGUACCUAAUCAGAAAGCCACGGCUAACUACGUG